rnacentral:rRNA from 1 species
UAUGCACGCUGGCGGCGUGCCUAAUACAUGCAAGUCGAGCGAACAGACGAGGAGCUUGCUCCUCUGACGUUAGCGGCGGACGGGUGAGUAACACGUGGAUAACCUACCUAUAAGACUGGGAUAACUUCGGGAAACCGGAGCUAAUACCGGAUAAUAUAUUGAACCGCAUGGUUCAAUAGUGAAAGACGGUUUUGCUGUCACUUAUAGAUGGAUCCGCGCCGCAUUAGCUAGUUGGUAAGGUAACGGCUUACCAAGGCGACGAUGCGUAGCCGACCUGAGAGGGUGAGCGGCCACACUGGAACUGAGACACGGUCCAGACUCCUACGGGAGGCAGCAGUAGGGAAUCUUCCGCAAUGGGCGAAAGCCUGACGGAGCAACGCCGCGUGAGUGAUGAAGGUCUUCGGAUCGUAAAACUCUGUUAUUAGGGAAGAACAAAUGUGUAAGUAACUAUGCACGUCUUGACGGUACCUAAUCAGAAAGCCACGGCUAACUACGUG